UUUUGUAUUUUUAGGUUACCUUUUAUGAGUGGUGAUAUUUAGGGCUCUCUGCAAGCUUUUGGAAGAAAAGGAAAUGAAAUUAUCCCACUCACAAAUCGCCUUAAUCUCUAUUUUUCACAAACAUUUCACGUCCCUCUUUUCGUUGGAGGGGGACACUGACCCCACUGGCAACCUUAGCCGUAUAUAAAUUGUAUGCAGUUCGACCAAUGACACUUUGGAGGUGACAGUGGGGGGGGGGUUGGUAAAUGUAGUUUUGUUUGAUACGUUUUAGGAAUGGUCUUAGCAGCUGAUACAGUUUGGGGCAUUCUUCGGUGCCGGGGUUUGAGGUUAUUUCAACUUUGCAUACAUUUGAUGGUCUAUAACAGGCACGAACUGGGCUUUGGAGAUAGUCAACUUAAUUUUUGUGGAGGGUUAUGAGCAACUGAUCAAUCGAGCCCAAGGAUCAGCCCCUCCUGUCGAGUUUGACUACUCCAUUCAAGGCAUGACUGUCAGCUCAAGACGUCCUCCUAGACCCGUACCAGAGUUCAAGGACGUACCUACAUGGAAAGCUCCAAGAAUCAUCAAUUCACAUCUCCCAGAAGAAAAGAUUCCUGAGCAGAUCUACCAAGGGAAAGGAAAAGUUGUUUUUGUCAUCCGUAACCCUAAGGACGUAGCAGUGUCUUUUUGGCACUUUGCGGUGCCAUGGAAGUUUGAUAAGCGAUAUGAAGAUUGGGAGUGUUUUUUUCAAAUGUUCCUGGAAGGAGAAACGAUUUAUGGGUCUUGGUUCGACUACACGCUGAAUUUCUGGAAGAAGCAUCGUUACGACAAAAACUUCCUUUUCCUGAAAUUCGAGGAUAUGAAACAGGAUAUUAAGGGAGCCGUCAUCCAAAUUGCCGAUUUUCUUGGCAAACCUCUCUCAGAAGAGUCUAUCAAUCGUGUGAUUGAGUGUAGCAGCCUGGAGAGCAUGAAGAGACGGUUUAACACAUCAGCUUCCAAUCCACAGCUAGUGAAAGAAUCCCCAUCACCAGGCCCUGAGAUAAAUGUGGAUAGAACUCCCCCUGGCACUAUGACUACGAAAGAGAUCCUUGCUAAAUACUCGCUUGGUGCUGCAGGCAUCAUCAGAAAAGGAAUCAUUGGAGACUGGAAGUCUAAAUUGACCGUCGCCCAAAACGAGGCUUUUGAUGCACUCUACCGAGAGAAAAUGGUGGGAUCGGGGCUGAAAAUACAAUUUGAAUGAAGCAGCAAAAAUUAUUUAGCAUUCUGAUAAAGUAAUUUCAUAUUGUUUCUUCAGUUAACAAGGUAAGACUUUUUAUAGCGUUCCUUUCAUUCAAAAAUUCAUUCUUUCUACUUUAAAUUUGGCACGUGAGCAUUUUACCUGAUUGUAAAGAAAAUGUUGAUGACAGAACUUGUCAGGCUUAAAUAUGAAGAGAUGUUAUGGCCGCAUCGUACAAUGAAAAGAAGGGAAUGUCACUAUUGUAUCACUAUCUAUUAUCAUAUUGUGUAACCACUGCAAAAAUCUAAAAGUAAUUUUUAGGGGCGCGAUUUCAAGGCAAGAUGUGUCAAUAAAUUGUAGAGCAUGAUGCACGGUAGCAUUUCGUAGGUUUAGCUGUACAAAAUUGGUUUCCUUUUUAUAAACUAUGAAGUGUCCAUUGGGGCGGGAUUGCUGGUUUUUUUUAUUAUUCCGUCAUUUUGUCGAAAAAUCCAACGAUUAUCCAUGAAAACCGUAAAAAAAAAGAAGGGGAGAAACUGGAGUUUUUAAAUGUUGUUCGCCUUUGGCAGUGUGCCUUGCACGUAUCGUGCGCGCUAGCAUGCCGUAUUUAUUUGAGACGUGCGAUGCGCUCUGUUCAGCGAAGGGGACGAAAUGCAAUUUUGUCUGUGCACAGCAUACAUAAAUUCCCCCCGAAUAUGGUAUCUAAUAUCAGCUCAGUGUCCCUAAUACUUCAACUUGUUGAAACUGUUAGCCAAUAAAGUUAAGAUUCUAGAGACCGAAGAGAGUCUCUAGUUCAACCCCCCCCCCUGCAUAGACCUACGCAAAAGCAAUCGCGUAUGAACUCAGACAAUCCUUACCAAAAUUGUUGAGACAAGUGUCAAUAGACAUACCCUCCCCAGCUUGCACAGACCAUGACCCAUGAGACUCAACAUUGAUCGGAGAUCAGGGACGGAGAUCCAGUCAAUGUUUUGGCUGGGAUAGCUACAAACCGCAGGCCUAUUUCCCACUGUGGUACACCCCUCAACCACACCGUAGGCCAUCUUAUCGUCUUCUGAGAAAAAUCUACACUUAAAACAUGUCUGUUAAAUAAAAGUAGAUUCUGUUGUCUGUUGACAGGACAGAAGUUGCUGUUUUGGGCCUGUACUUUAUGCUGUCACUUUUUCUAUAUACUAACAGGAGAUUCUUAGUGAAAUGUGUUCAGGGCACAGUUAGAAAAAAAUUUAAUUCGUACGUACAGCUUACUAUGUCGUAUGUAAGCAUUACUAAACCGUACGUAUAUACGGAGUAGUAAUCCACAUGGUUCACUGCGUGACUAAACUUCAGUUCAUUGGGUCCGAGAGGGACGAAUUAAUUUUUUUUAACAUGUCCUAAAUUUACUUCCAUAUCCUAAUAGUAUACAGAGAAAAAUUGACAGUAGAAUGUGCUGUCCCAAAACAGCAACUUCUGCAAUGCAUAGAAUCUACCGUUAUUUAACAGACAUUUUAAACAGUUUAUCCUCCGAGGGUGCCCUGUAUCCGCGGUAUGAUUAUUUUUGGGCAGUUUAUUGAGGACAAAAAACAACGCAUUUAAAACCACGUUUAAACUUGGUAAAAAGCUACAUUUUAAGCUGUAUUUUCAUGAAAACACAGUUACAGUUUAAAUAGAUACCUGCUAAUUCUAGGGCUUUCAUUCUUGAUGGUGCAUAAUCAACGCCAUAUACUGGUUGUGAGUAGAAAUCCAAAUAACUAUAAUAAUCUGGGGUUUGUUUUUUUAAGUAAAAUUAUCUUUGCUUCGUGAAGUCUCCGGUCACUCCAAAGACAGUGUUGCAUCAUGCCGUUUUCAUGGAUAGCGAAUAGAGAAAUGCGGAAUGGUACGGGUUAUCUAAACAGACAACAUUAAGUUUCAGUCAGAUCAAAAUUAAAUGUAACCCGGGUUGCCGUGGAGGAAAAAUUGAAUGGGCUAUGCGCCUCAAUGUACAGAGGUUGGAUGGGCUGCAGCUUUUGCGGCGAGAGGAGGGUAAAACCAAACGCUUCACUUAUUUGGCAUUCAUUGCAUUCUCGAUGUAAUUUUCUAUUGUUGAAAUUCUUUUGAGAUUAUUUCAUCAUUUUCGUGCUUGUAUUUUUCGGGCAGAUCUGUCUGGCCGGUGAUGGAUCAACCUUUCACAAGAAAGAACGGCAGUUGCAACGCAUUUGUUGCAACGUUGGGGUGACCCAAGAAGAUUAAUCCAACAUACAAACGGGAUGUGUCUAUUGUGAGAAUUUCUCUUGAAAAUGUCAAAUUAUUCUGCAGUCAAAAGCAAACGAAAUUUGUUGUUAUCACAAAUGAAAAUGCCUGUGCAAUCUGGAUCCGUUACUGUUAAAUCAGUCAUCAAUAAUAAAUAUUCACAGUACAACUCGCUGCUUUUUGUAUUGAGAUCACUCAGAAGACAUGAACCCGAAAAUGGUUGAGAUCGGUUUCAUUGUCAACUAUUUAGGAAGUAAAGAUUAUAGAUGAAAAUAAAUAAGCAUCAAUCCUUCAGCUCACUAAAAAAUCCAAAAGUUAUGCUGUGUUGACCAAGCAUUCAGGCGCAUGGACUCCUGAAAUUCGCAAGGAAUCGCAGUUACCGGCUUCCAUAUAGGACUUUUCUGGGGUCUCAGCCCACCACACUUCCGCGCUGCUCAUCCAUUUAACCCCCGAAUAGUUCGACGGACCGUGCAAGGGAGGAAACGAGACAAGCCCCUAAAGCCCAGGCCGACAAGUCGGCCAUACGUCUCGAACCUGUACUGAGGUGCUCACCUGGACUUUGCGGACAGUCCCAGCAGAAUAGCUUGCCCGGUCGGCUAAGGUACUCUCUUGUAGCUACUGACUGACAACAAGCAUUGACAAAAUAAAAAGCCUCCGAUGGGAUUCGAACCCACCGUCUAACGAUCUGAUAACGUAAGCUCAACCACUCGGUCAUUUUAAAGACGUUGCUUUUCGCUGUUCAUAUCAAGGAGAUAACAAAACCAUUAACCUUACGCGCAGAAUGUUGCACAAUAGGUAGAUGAACAUGGUCAAUUCCCCGGACCACGUCAGUACACCUAUCUACGGCUGCGUUCGCGCGGUUACUCCUGUCAAUCGAGUGUAGGAUGCGCGCGCAUUACUCUCGGGUCAGGAGUACACUCCUGCACGAGGGGAGAAUACUCUCGCUGACCUGCGGGGUAUCCUGCCGUUCGUGCCAGUGCGCUUCGGGAGAGUACUCAUGUUCACAAGAGUAGCUCGCUCAACAGCAUUCUGCAUGUCGGACUUUUUCAUAGUGUCCACCCUGAGCUGAAGCGCACCCCCACCGGCGAAAAAAAAGACAGAUGGUGCUAAGUUUUCCAACCGCAUCCUAUGGGGCACCACAGGUCCAUAAUAAAUAUUUUACAAAACGAAUGCUCCAAAUCAAAACAAAGCUCAGAGUUUAAAAACAAACAAAAGCGAGGUGCAUAAACAAAGGACGUCGAGAAAGUGAAAACAGUAAAUUAAUUAAAAACGAAUGACAGAAAAAUGAAGCAGAGUUUUAAAUCCUGGUUUACGAACAGCCUUUGCGAAAUGAUGAAAACCUCAAUCGAUCAGAAAAAAAAGAAAUUAUGGAAAUUAUUUAAACGAACCCAUCACUUAGCGGCGCGGCAUCCCAAGUAAUUGUCACAUAUAUUUUUUUCCUGAAUGAAAAUGGAUAAGACUUGAAACUAUGCAUGGUGGAAGUACUAAAUAGGUUAGGCUUGCGGUUGCACCAUGUAGAAAAUAUAUCUUAUAUGAGUGUGUGGUUCUGAGAAGAGCCGAUGGUGAACACUCGAAGACUGAGCAGAGCAUACUGUUCGGAACAAGCCUAACCUUUUCUGAAUGAAAAUGUCUCGGCAAAUUAAAUUUUUCUGGUCAGAGAGUUUCUAUAUAACUGCGAUCUCUUACAACUAAUAAAUUACUGAUUUGCCAAACGCAUAUUUGUAGUGAUUUCAAGACUUUAUUAUUUUUGAGGAAGAGUACAAAGUAAACUUUUUUAAAACAACUGGAA
rnacentral:misc_RNA from 1 species